rnacentral:siRNA from 1 species
GCAACACAUAUAUGAUUUGCCUA